rnacentral:rRNA from 1 species
CAGCCGCCGCGGUAAUACCUGCAGCCCAAGUGGUGGUCGAUUUUAUUGAGUCUAAAACGUUAGUAGCCGGUUUGGUAAAUCUUUGGGUAAAUCGGGAAGCUCAACUUUCCGACUUCCGAAGAGACUGUCAAACUUGGGACCGGGAGAGGCUAGAGGUACUUCUGGGGUAGGGGUAAAAUCCUGUAAUCCUAGAAGGACCACCGGUGGCGAAGGCGUCUAGCUAGAACGGAUCCGACGGUGAGGGACGAAGCCCUGGGUCGCAAACGGGAUUAGAUACCCCGGUAGUCCAGGGUGUAAACGCUGCCGACUUGGUGUUGGAGGCCCUUCGGGGGCAUUCAGCGCCGGAGAGAAGUUGUUAAGUCGGCUACUUGGGGAGUACGUCCGCAAGGAUGAAACUUAAAGGAAUUGGCGG